GCCCGCCCCCAGCAGGUAGCGGUCGGGCCGUCCCCAAGAUGGCGCCGCGCUGAGGCGAGCCCGCGCUUGGGGCUGAGCGGUGCUGCCUCCACACCGUCCCGUUGUGGGCCGGCUGCUGUGGUGUUCUGAGGCCCCAAAGAACUGCCGAGGUUUUGACUACAAGUGGAAGACAGAUCUUUGACAUAUAUGAUGGCCACUUGUCAGCUUUUAAGUAGGCAGAAGAAUAAGUCCUCUAAGGAAUUUCUGUUGUUCCCCAACAAAAUCACUACUAAGCAGCAGUCUGUGGUGCUGGUGAAAAGACUUCUGGCCAUCUCUGUCUCCUGCAUAACAUACCUGAGAGGCCUGUUCCCUGAGAGUUCUUAUGGAACACGUUAUUUAGAUGACCUCAGUCUAAAAAUUCUGCGAGAAGAUAAAAGCUGUCUGGGAUCGUUUCAGAUAGUCAAGUGGAUUCAAGGUUGUUUUGAUGCUUUGGAGAAGCAGUAUCUACAUGUUGCUGUCCUAGCAAUGUACACCAAUCCCGAGGAACCGGAGACAGUGACUGAACUGUAUCAAUUCAAGUUCAAGUACAAAAAGGAGGUGCCCGAGAUGGACAUCAUCAGCAACAAAGCGAACCUUGUGAAUGGAGUGUGCAGCGAGGACAUGAAACAAGCCUGCAGCCUCCUGAUCCGUAAGCUGUACCUGUUAAUGCAAAACCUGGGCCCACUUCCCAACGACAUUACCCUGACCAUGAAGCUCCUCUAUUACAAUGAUGUAACUCCUGAUGAUUACCAACCACCUGGCUUUAAGAAAGAUGACAACGCUGGUGACCUGUUGUUUGAUGGUGAUCCUGUCAACUUGAAACUAGGCUCAGUCUCCACGGGGUUCCACACCUUGAAAGUGAAAGUAACAACUGAAAACAAAAGAAUGGGGAAAGUUGAAAGCAACCUGAUCCAGAAGAACAGCCCUACUGAGAUCUCCCAUCAAGGGUUAGACUGUGAUGAAGAGGAAGAGGAGGGAAGCACUAAGAACAACCCUCCCCCUGUCAGAGCAGAGUCAGAUGAACAUGGAAAGGACAGAAAUUGUACCCAUCCAGGCCUGAGAACUGAAGCAUCUUCUUUUUGCCUUCAAGAUACAGGUGGAAAGGGAAAGAUGGAAAUAAGAGAGAGAGGCAGGCGGCCUUCCUCACAGGCAUCUCAGCAGAUAAGCUGCCUGAACCUUGCAUUUAGCCAGGAAGAGGUAAUAGGACCCAAGAAGAAAAGGAAGGUCAGCGAACCAGAGAAGCUGCUUCUGGAAGGCAGGAAAUGAUGUUUGUUCUGCCACACAAUGCAUUUCAGAAGGUGUGAGUUUGUGUUGUCAUCUGACUGGCAAAGACCUUAAUUCUCUCCUCAUAUUUAACUCUCCACAUGCCACAUAUAUUUCUGCAUACUUUGUCUUGUACAAAGUUUGCAUUGCAAAGAGGCAGUAGGCACCACAGCUGUCAUGACUGGAGGCCAGCAGCACUUGUUUCAUGUUUUAGAGUUGAGGAUUGGUGAUUUCAUGUGGACAGUAUCUGUGUGCUUCUUUGUUUUGUCUCCCUCCCUCCCACCACACACACAUCCCAGUGGCUAAAUUUGUUCCUCUCUGGCUGGGUCCCUUGCCAAUAUGUUAUCAAUAUCAACAGCACUAUUUCAGGAUGAACUCUCUGAGAUAUCGAUGGCAGCAAACAAGUUUCAUGAUUCAUUAGAUUAUGCUUCAUUCUAUCUACUCUUUCCGGAGCAUAGAUUUUAUUUUAUUUUUUUCAGAGAAGGGUUUUUAUCUAUAUUGAAUGCAGAGAUAAAGUAAUCUAUGCACAUUUUCUGCUGUUGCUGCUGAAUGGUUUUUUUUUUUUCUGACUCUGCAAGUAGUGUUGCUAUGGUUAUAAUAUCAACUUACUUCUGAAGCAGCAAUCCACUUCGUACCAAGAGGCAUAGUUGCCCAAUAUAGCUUGUGUUGAAAUACACCAUGUUUCCAACUUAACUUUUAUAAAGGUACCUCUCAAUGGCAAAUAUAGGUAAAGGGAGCAGCAGCAGUAAAAGAAAGAAUUUGUGUCCUUUGGAGCAAAGGUGCUGUGUUUUCUGGCAUGUAGGUUGCCUGGCUGACACUGCCAAGUUAUUACAGGAGAGGUGUGAAAACCUAAUAGUUAUUAUUGGAGUGGAGCAAAAUGAUCUUAAUUAGUCUUAAACACUGUAAAAAUGAUAGUCAGAGAACAAACUCUGCAUUACUUUAUACAUAAGAAAAGAGAUAAUGAAAUUUGAAAUGCCAAAGAAGAGAAUUUAGAACGUCUUCCCAACACGAAGUUGAUCUUACACGAUGGAGAUGGGAUGGAGAAAUAAAAAAGCACUAGAAUGCAACGGAGUAGUGUCCCUGGUAAUGUAGCAGCAUUCCUGGCAUUUCUGAUACUUGUCAGAGAUACUUCAGGCUGGGUCUUGAAGGGCAGUAGUGGUUUGGGGUAUAAGGUGUUCCUUUUGUGGCCUGUGUCAGCUCCACAGAAAGGACUGCUUGGCAGGUGCAUGAAGCCAGAUGCAGGCUUCUUGGGCCAGGCACCCGAAGGAGCUGCUGACUGGGUGGGUGUACGCCCCUAAAUGUUCAACUGACUCCUCCGGGAAACUGAGUAAGGCACUGCAAUCCUAAUGCUAAUGCCACUCCUGUCCUUCCUCGGGCAGACAGACUGCUGGCAGCCCCUCAGCCCAGCAGCGUCUGGCAGGUUUCGUGGCCUAAUGCCUGCUUCACAAAACUUGCAGAACAUGAGAGUUCUCCAUUUUAUCCUCACUUUCAGUCCCUAGUCCUCACAUUUGCACCUGUGGCCUAAUAAGCCAGUUUGUUCACAUGCCAGAGCAAACCAGAAAGCUUCCUUCUGCCCAGAUUUUGUAAUGAUAUUUACUCUCAAGCCUGCACAUCCAUGGGAGGCCUGCGUUCUUUGAGCUCAGCUAUGGCUCAGGACCUGCCUUGACCUGAGAGCUGUGCCCUGGUGCUCCUGGAGGUUGUGGUUCUGUGUUUCUUCAGCCUGCUGGCUCCUGCCUGCCCCCAAAGCCUCGUUAUGUUGUUGUAUUGUGCGUACAGGAGAAAGACAAACAAGCCUGUGGUUAUGGCUACUAGAGGGAAGCCUGUCAGUCUGCCUUGUGCACACCGGAGAACGCAAAGUGUCCUGUCCCGCAAUGAAAGUGAAGGAGGCUGUCUCAUGUUACCACACAGCGAGAGUGAGCGCACAGACACCACAAGUAAAUCCACAGCUUAGUCGAGAGUGCUGCCCUGCUUGUAGCCAUGGCCAGAGGCUCGCUGUCUCAGUGCACACUGCCUUGCAAUCAGCUAUUUUACGGUAACGACUUCUAGUCAUUUUCAUUUCAGGCUCGGUUAGAAAUAAAGUAACUUGUGAUGAACUGCCACAGUAAGCGUCUGAUUUUUCUUUCCCACAAGCUUGUGGUUACCACCAGAUUCUAAGAAAAGUCUUUCCACUGCAGAUUGGAAUCAUCUAAGCCACUUACACGUAUCCUUUUAUUUAUUGGUGAUUCUGCUCGGCCAGCUAAAGGUAAAAAAACCCACCUCUUUCUUGUAUUUCAGGCGCAUUUCUAGUUAAUACUCAUUAACUGACUUCAUGUAUGUUACACAUCAUCAGCCUGAUUCACUACUGACAUAAAACAGAAGCAAUUCGUUAGUAACGGUCCCUUGCCAAUUAGUGAACUAAAUUACGUUUGAACAAUUUUCUUCAAAGAUUCUCCCCCCCCCCAGUGCAUCAUUUGGCAAGUCCCCUGAAUGCUUACAGUAAUUAUGUGCGUGCAGUGAAAGGAGACUGUUACCUCUUCAAGCAAAAUAAAUGAAUAUGUGAUCUUUGUGUUAAUAUAACAAUGAGUAAUACAAAGAAUCACAGACAUCCUCCCUUUGAUCUGCCAGAGAUACUAACAGCAAUUAAGAUGACAAGCCGUUUUAAAACCCAGAAUAUUGUGAAGGUUCCAUGAGGGGAAAGUGAUUGUUUUGUAGGGUUUUCAGAAGAUCAGUGAAGAAGGGGAGCCCUUCUUGUCCCUGGUGACCACAGGUCUUUUGGCAGGCGUGGUGUGGGUAUCCUGACACCUGCCGAGCCACAAACAGGUUGGUGGUGCUUCUAAAAAUCGUUCCCUCUUUCUGGGAUAGCAUUUAACAAGAAGAGUGGUAUCUCUGUUUCAAAUUGAAAAUCAAACUGAAGUCAACGGAAAAUGUUUAGCAUUGUCUCAACCACAUCCUUAAAUACAUUGGCCGCAGCGAGAAAAUAACCCCGAGUUCUGGUGCCAUGCAGUGAUCGUGGGGACAGGUGUCAGGUUGGUUUUAACGUGAAAGCUGAGGAUUCUUUUGGGAUUUCCAGUGCUGCGUGAGAUCUAGGAAAUCAGCUCAUCUGACUUUCAGGUUUGGAAGGAGCGCAGAAAGAAGAAAUGAAACAUGACACAUGAGUAGGAGAAACGAAGACACUUUCAUACUUUUAAAAAGUGUGAGAGUUAGGAGCUUUGACGUUGAUUUCAAUGGAGCACGGAGGAGCCUCUGCCCACGGUGAUAUACCCACAAUGCAAAAAUCACAUGUUGUCAGCACUGCCCAAAGGAGAUGGGCUAUCAUUUUUUCCCCACUGGAUUUCUGUAGCAAUAGCCAUGAAUUAUCUUGACUAUCCCUGCUAUAAAUGGGAUUGGAAACCCGCUGGUAGAUUUCACGAGUCCGGUUCUAAUAAUGAACCUUUAUCUGAAGCACUGUUCCUUCAGGUUAUCCUCUCUUGGCUGAGACUUUAAUUUUCAGACUUUCUGCAUUUUUCCUCUUUAGUCAGCAGGUAAAAUAUGUAGUCGUGGCUGCCGGAGCCGAGUGCCUGCAUUUGUCAUGCCACAGAGCUGCCAUUCUCAGGGGCCAAGAUCUUUGUGCCAGCAGCAUCGUGUCACCCCAAUGGAAUCCCACCCACGUGUGGUGCUGGGCAAAGUCUUUUUUGUUAAUGGAUGAGUAAAAUUGCAUCUGGCUUUUGUUGUCAUCACGAGGUAAGUAAGAGGGAUUUGCAUCUGAACUGGCACGCUUUCUGUAGGCAGCUUCCAAGGCUAAUUUCAGGCAGGCUGGCACGAAUAUCCUUCCUUUACACAGAGACUGAGACUCCGAAGCCUCGUAGGAGUUUUCCAUAGGAAACACCGCCCUGGGUCUCCGUGUGCCAGAUGUGCUCCUAUGGCAUUUCCCUGCACAUCAAUGACCUACUGUUCCAGCACGGAAUCGAUCGGCCUUCUUGUGACGUGUUCCAAAUACUUUACUAGGGUAAGACUGUCUGAAACACAGGAACGUGAUGUGUCCUGAAAACAGCUUGGCAUUUGGAGUUGGCUGAGCUCUACCCGAACCUUUGCCAGCCUCAGAACUAUGAAUUGAAUGUCAACCCGAGCAGGUGGCACACAGGCUGGGAAGCCAUCAGGGGACAGUUGCUUUUUGUCUGUAAAGACAUCUUCUUACCAGUUCAGUUGAACCAGGAAGCUGAAGCUGCUUGUACCCAUGCACAGCACUGAGACUCAGGAGAGCUUCCUGCAUGCCCCAGAGGGGGCAUUUCUGACCUGUAAGUGUCUCACUUCAUUGCAGGAGAGCUGGACUAGAUGACCUUUAAAGAUGCCUUCCAACUGAAGUGAUGCUGUUAUUUGGUGAUUCUGGGGCUUGCUACACAAAUCUCUUCCUCUCUUCCCUCUUUUAAAGAGUGCUGCCCAUGGGAGAAGGAACACCAUCCUGUGAGCCCUUGCAGAAGCUGCCGUCACAGAGCUUUGAUACUGUUGGAUGCCUAUAGAGGCUUCCACGGUGUUCAUAAACAUCAUAAUGGGGUGCAAUUUCAAUAAAAAUCAGUCUUUCCAAAGCUUGCACCCGUAAAAAGAAGGGGUGUUUCUCUCUGCUCCUCUGGUCAAAACAGCCUGGCAUCUGAGACAUUGCUGAGCUCUGCUCACACCUAGAAUCAUAGGAUCAUUAAGGUUGGAG